GGAGAGAGAAAAGACAAGCUACCAACUGAGGCAAGCUAUCUGUAACAGAGAAAAACAAAGGGCCAGAUUCAGAGAGAGAGAGAAAAUGUGUGUAUGUCUGUACGUAUAGCAGGUCCUCACUUAGCGUUGUUGAAAGGUUCUUGGAAUCUGCCACUAAGUGAAGUGACGUGUAACAAAACAACUAUUUUUAUCAAUGUUAUAAUAAAACAAUGUUGAUGAAACAGUGUUAUUCAAGGACCUGCUGUACAUCACUUCACUUAAAUCUGCAGUUUCCAACAACCCGUCAGUGAUGUUAAGUGAUGACUUACUGUACAUAUAUUUUUAAAUCAAUGUUUUAAAAAAAGAAAGAACCCACCAGGCGCAGUGGCUCAUGCCUGUAAUUCCAGCACUUUGGGAGGCCGAGGCAGGCAGAUCACGAGGUCAGGAGAUCGAGACCAUCCUGGCUAACACGGUGAAACCCUGUCUCUACUAAAAAAAUACAAAAAAUUAGCCGGGCAUGGUGGCAGGUGCCUGUAGUCCCAGCUACUCGAGAGGCUGAGGCAGGAGAAUGGCAUGAACCCGGGAGGCGGAGCUUGCAGUGAGCCAAGAUCGCGCCACUGCACUCCAGCCUGGGCGACAGAGCGAGACUCCAUCUCAAAAAAAAAAAAAAAAAAAAGAAAGAAAGAAACCAACAGGAAAAAAUGGACUAGUAACUUUAAUAAGGAUUUUGUUUAAAAAGCUUGAAUGGCCAAAAAAAUCUGAAAAGAUAUUUAAUCCCAUUAGGAACUAGGGAAAAUCCAGUUAAAACACAAGAUACUAUAACAUACCCACCAGAUUGGCAAAAAUGUAUAAACUUGACAUUACCAAAUGCUGAAGAGGAUGUAAGGUAACUUGCAUGGUGCUACAGGAGUGAAAAAUGGCAAAGCAACUUUGGAAAAUAAUUUGAUGUUUCUUUAUAAUGUUUACAUGUGCAUUUCUUUCCAUCUAGGAGACACACUUUCACACGCGCCCCAGAAUAAUGUGCAAGAAUGUUCACAGCAGUAUUAUGUCCAUCAACAACAGAAUGGACACAGAACUUGGUACUCCACAGUGUGAAGGUACCACAGCAGCAAUGAAGGGCAGCCACUGCAGUUACACGCCAUCAGCAUGGACUCAUCUGUCAACCCCCAACAGAAGGAAGGCACAAGAGAAUAAAUGCAGUACAAUUCCACAUGUAUAAAGUUCAAGGGCAUGCAAAGUGAAACUAUAGGCAGGCACAGGAGGGAAGCAAAUUGAGGAUGAUUAUCACAAAAAUCAGUUAAGAAAACACAAACUGCAUCAUCCAAAAAUACACCUUUGGUCCACGGAUGCCACUGGAAGACAUCUGAAUUUUAGACCUCCAGAGAGAAGAUCUGGGUGGCUAGCUCCAGAGUGGAGGCAUGCUUGCUUUUUCUUUACACUUGUGAAGAGGAAUGGAUCCGGACAUCUGCAAUCUGGGUAGAGGACGGCAGGCAGCAAGCUUAGCCACUCGGCCAGGCUUCUCAGCCCUUACUCUAGACAUGUGAUCCUUCCUCCACGUGAUAUACUUCACAACUUUCUUACGGCUACUCAAGGCAUCCCAAGUUAAAAGGAAGGUCAGAUGUGAUUCUCACUUUAUUAUGAUAAAAAAAAUUACUAUUUAAAUACUAUAAAUAAAUAUUAUAAUAAAUACUAAGCUAGAACCAUCAGAAUACAUCACUUCUGUAUCCAGUUUUCAAAGUAUCUUUGGUGUUUGUCAGGAAUAAAUAAAAGUAAUCAUUUUAUUUCUAUUAAAUUAUAUCUGGCACUAGUGGCUAGUACUUUUGUACUUAUUAGUACAACCUUAAAAAGUCUUAAAAAGAUUUCUUUUGGUUUCAGAACAUAACCAUUGUUACAUUGUUCUUGUCUCUGCUUUUGUAACAGGGUCUCACUCUGUUGCCCAGGCUGGAGUGCAGUAGUACAAUCAUGGCUUAUUGUAGCGUUGACCUCUCAGGAUCAAGUGAUCCUCUUAUGUCAGCCUCCUGGGUAGCCGGGACCACAAGUGCACACACCACCAUACCCAGGUAAUUUUUAUUUUUUUAAUUACUUUUGUAGAGACAGGGUCUCCCUAUGUUGCCCAGGCUGGUUUUAAACUCCUGGGCUCAAGUGAUUCUCAUGCCUUGGCCUCCCAAACUGCUGGGAUUAUAGGUAUGCGCCAUUGUGCCUGGCCCCAUUGUUAUAUUGUUAAUACCCAAUAGUUUAAAGGUUCACAAUGUUGCAAAGGAAAAGCUGUUUACUGCAACAUGUCACCUUAUAUCAGAAGCCAAAUGUCACAGGUUUAUGAAGUCUAAGAAGGAUGGGGCAUUGUCAAAAUACUUCAGCUUACUUAAUUACAAAGUCAAGGGUUCACAAACCCAGCUACAUAUUACAAUUUCCCUGUUGAGUUGCUCUCAAGUGAGAAAAUGAAUGCUGACAGCAGGCAAGCCCAAAGUGCCUCCUCUACUCCUUCAGAACUCAGAGAGCCUCUCUCUGACCACCAGUUCUCCUUCUCCUAUUAUUUUCUGUCAGGACACACUGUUUACUUCAAGAGCACUCAUUCAUUUGCUUACAGGUUUAACACAGAAUGUGCCAGAACAAUCCUGAACGAGAACAAAGUUGAAAGUCUCAUACCUCCCGAUUUCAAAACUUAGUACAAAGCUACAGUAAUCAAAACAGUGUGGUACUGGCAGAAAGACAGACAUAUAGACAAAUAGAAUGGAAUAGAAAGCCCAGAAAUAAACCCUUGCAUAUAUGGGCAAAUGAUUUUCAACAAGGAUGCCAAGAGAACGUUGGGUUUUGGCUAUUCAGCAUCCCGAGACAGGUCUCACGAUAUUGUGCAGGCUGGAGUGCAGUGGCGCAAUCACAGCUCACUGCAGCCUCGAUCUCCCAGGCUCAAGUGAUUCUCCCACUUAAGCCUCCCAAGUAAUUGAGACCACAGGCAUGCACCACCACGCCCGGCUAAGUUUUUAAUUAUUUGCAGAGACAAAGUUUCCUUAUGUUGCCCAGGCUAGUCUUGAACUCCUGCCCUCAAACGAUCCUCCCACUUUGGCCUCUCCCAAAGAUUACAGGCAUGAGCUACUAUGCCAGCCUUUCUUUGGUUUAAAGAUGGAUUUUUCUUUUUUUUUUUUUUUUUGAGACAGACUCUCGCCCUGUCACCCAGGCUGAAGUGCAGUUGCACAAUCUCAGCUCACUGCAACCUCCAGCUCCCAGGUUCAAGUGAUUCUUGUGCCUCAGCCUCCCAAUUACAGGUGUGAGCCACUGUGACUGGCCGGAUUUUUCUAUUUCUGCAAAAAACACUGUUGGAAUUUUGACAGGAAUUGCACCAAAUCUGUUGAUUGUUUUGGGUAGUAUUGACAUUUUAACAAAUAGUAAGUCUUCCAAUCAAAACUUAAAAAAAAACCCACUAAAUUUUAUCCAGCUUUCUUCUAAAACAGAAAAAGCAAUCAAUUCAAGUGAAAACUCCAAAUGAAUUUACAUGCUAUUAGCAUCCAAAAAUUUAAAGAGUUCCAUUUAUUUAUUUAUUUAUUUAUUUAUUUAUUUAUUUAUUUAUUGAGAUGGAGUCUCACUGUAGCCCAGGCUGGAGUGCAGUGGUUUGUUCUCAGCUCACUGCAACCUCCACCUCCCGGGUUCAAGCUAUUCUCCUGUCUCAGCCUCCUGAGUAGCUGGGAUUACAGGCGUGCUGCACCACCAUGUCUGGCUAAUUUUUUGUAUAUUUAGUAGAGACAGGGUUUCACCAUGCUGGCCAGGCUAGUCUCAAACUCCUGACCUCAAAUGAUCUGCCCACCUCAGCCUCCCAAAGUGCUGGGAUUACAGGUGUGAGCCACCGUGCCCAGCCAAGACUUCCAUUUAAGAUCCAGUACUAAAACUACUUUUUAAAAUGGAUGAUACUAACCUUUUAGCAGUUACAAAAAACAUCAUUUUAGUAGAGUCCUCAACAAGAGAGGCCUAAUAUUACCACACAGAAAUGCCCAAAACACUGAUUCCUCCUUACCGGCCAAGGCUAACUGAAGCCCACUAAUGUCCACAGACUGGCCCAUGUUUCCAACGUCCAUCAGUGCAAUCUGGCGAGGCGUCUUUUUGAAGAGUUCCCGUGGGGGUGCCAGCAUCAGCUGGGAAAGAAAAAACUUUUCUGGUGGAGUUAUAGGAGGUAAAAAUCCUGCAAACAAAAAUGUAUAACGAUUUCUCCAAUGGUUACUUUUAAAAAUCAACUUGAAUCUGGUAAAAUCAGUACUUGCUACUUGCCACUUCAAGCCACAUAGUUUUAAGAACUAAAUUAUGAUUAAGUUUCAGUCAACCAAAUAUAUACAUUUACAAACUAUGUAAUAUGUCAUUUGAAAUUCUAUGAUCUGUGGCCCUACAAAUGAAACUUAAGGUUUUUGUACUUGUUAACUGUAAGAGUUAAAGAAAGAGGAAAGAAACACAAAACGCAGCCUGGCAGUCAAAGACAGGUUUUCUUUAGUUAAAACAUCGGCCAGGAGUGCUUCUCAGGUUCUAACUAAAGAAAAUCUGUCUUUGACUGCCAAGCUGCGUUUUGUGGCUUUUUUUUUUUUUUUGAGAUGAAGUCUCACUCUUGUCUCCCAGGCUGCAGUGUGAUGGCAUGAUCUUGGCUCACUGCAACCUCCACCUCCCGGGUUCAAGAGAUUCUCCUGCCUCAGCCUCCCAAGUAGCUGGGAUUACAGGCACCUGCCACCAUGCCCAGCUAAUGUUUGUAUUUUUAGUCGAGUCGGGGUUUCACCAUGUUGGCCAGGCUGGUCUUGAACUCCUGACCUCAGGUGAUCCACUCGCCUCAGCCUCCCAAAGUGCUGGGAUUACAGGCAUGAGUCACCGUGCCCCGCCUGGUGUUUCUUUCCUCUUUAACUCUCACAUUAGUAACUUCAUUUUCUUUUCUUUUUUUUUUUGAGAUGGAAUCUCGCUCUGUCGCCCAGGCUGGAGUGCAGUGGUGCAAUCUCGGCUCACUGCAAGCUCUGCCUCCUGGGUUCACGCCAUUCUCCUGCCUCUGGCUCCCGAGUAGCUGGGACUACAGGCGCCCGCCACCACGCCCAGGUAAUUUUUUGUACUUUUUAGUAAAGACAGGGUUUCACCGUGUUAGCCAGGAUGGUCUUGAUCUCCUGACCUCGAGAUCCACCCACCUCGGCCUCCCAAAGUGCUGGGAUUACAGGCGUGAGCCACCACGCCUGGCCCAAUAACUGCAUUUUCUAAAGUGCCUCAAUUCCUGCAAAGGCUAAAGCUUAUAUAUGCAAACAAAAACAGACAACACUAUAGUGCUCGGAAAUGCUUUUCUUUCUUCUCUGUUUCCACUGUGUAGAAGUUGAAUAAAUAGAAGAGCAACCAGCAGCUAUCCAAAUACACUACCUGAUUCAACACACAAUGCAGCUACAAAUUCCCACAAGGCUGAAUGUUCCUUCCCUUUUGUCCCAUGUUUAAUUGCUCAUGAAGCCUCAUCUCUCCCACUGCAGAAAUGUCACCAGGCUGCAUUCCCUCAGAUGUAGUCCCCACGCCUCUCUUGCUGGGACUACUCCUGCCCCCUCUACUGACUUCCCCAGCUCCCAGUUUUGACCCCUGCUCACCCACCACCCAUAGUCCAUACUUCCUCUUACCAUUUAGUUAUAUCUCUAGAGUACAAAUCUGAUCACAUUACUUAACCUGUGUACACAGAAUUAAACCCAGAUUUCUACACCAUUACAAGACCCUUCAAAAUCUGGUCCCACCACACCUUCCUAAUCUCACUUCUUGACCUUCUCUCCCAUCCAUGUACCCUACACCCCGGUUGCACAAAAUCCCUCAACUUCUACACUAUUUUUUUUUUUUUUGAGGCAGUCUCACUCUGUUGCUCAGGCUGGAGUGCAGUGGCGCGAUCUCAGCUCACUACAGCCUCCGCCUCCCAGGUUCAAGCAAUUCUCCUGCCUCAGACUCCUGAGUAGCUGGGAUUACAGGAGUGCACCAUCAUGCCGGGCUAAUUUUUGUAUUUUUUGGUAGAGAUGGGGUUUCGUCAUGUUGGCCAGGCUGGCUUCCAACUCCUGGCCUCAAGUGAUCUGCCUGCCUUGGCCUCCCAAAGUGCUGGGAUUGCAGGCAUGAGCUACCACACCCGGCCUUACACCCAGUUUUUUAAUAAUACCUGGCAGAGCUACUCCUGCCCUCCCUCCUGCAUCCCUAAUCAAUAUCCAGCAAAAAAUAUCACUCCUGAGAAUUUCUCCAGCUCCACAGGUGGUCGUUCCUUCCUCUUAACUACCCAGCAUUACACAAUCGCAGCCCUGCCUCUGUUCAGAGUCAUCUGAAAAGCAUUCUGAAGACAUACCCACUAAAUGUCUUACCCUAAACAUACAAUAUCAGCAGCUCUGGGAGUGGAGUGUAGGCACUGAUAUUUUCUCUUCUAUGUUAUCUACACACCAUCCCUACCUACUUUAAUAAUGGUAUAAUAGUGGGUAACACUCACAGGUACUUUUUUUUUUUUUGAGACGGAGUCCCGCUCUUUAGCCCAGGCCGGAUUGCAGUGGCACAAUCUUGGCUCACUGCAAGCUCCGCCUCCCAGGUUCACGCCAUUCUCCUGC
rnacentral:lncRNA from 10 species